CCAACUUUAGCAGCUCCAGCCCUGCUUCCCACAGCUCCACAUCUUCCCUGGUCCCACUGCUCUCCUUUUCUGUGUUAUUAAAGCAGCAGCCCCUCAUGCAUGUCGCUCUCUUGGAGAAGGGAAAUAUGCCCUCCUGGUUACUGAUAUGGGAAGCAGACAAAGAAGCAAUCAAAACCAAGAGAAUCUAGAUAUAUUGGAAUUCUCAAAGGCUUCUGGAACCAUUUCAGAAGAGAGAAGCAGUCCUGUCUGGGGCAGGCAGAGAAGAAGCUGAACAGCUUGUUGUGCUGUAUGCAGGUUUCGGACCACCUGAAUUUCCCAGGCAGAACAAAGGCGGCAGAGAAGGAGGGCACUACUGAACGCAAACAAAAGAUGUAGUCUUAAUAAAGAUUUUACAAAUGC
rnacentral:lncRNA from 1 species